GGGGAUUUAGCUCAGCGGCAUAAGCGCCUGCCUUGAAAGCAGGCAGUCGUGAGUUUGAUCCCCG
rfam:Cavia porcellus supercont2_4 genomic scaffold, whole genome shotgun sequence.